CUUUUUUUUUCUUAGAGAAGACGCGAUAUUUGAAAGAAUUUUUUAUUUUAUGAAAAAGGAACUUCUACUGCGCGGAAAGAUAGGUGACUCAUCAUGUUAUAGUGUGAUGUUUUCUAAAUGACUUUAUGUGAUAGUGUGAACGUUUUCUGACUGGCAGAAGGAUAUUCAGUUUUCUUUUUGCCCAACCUUGUCAGUCUGGUGCUAAAAAG
rnacentral:lncRNA from 1 species